rnacentral:misc_RNA from 1 species
CGAGAGAAAGGAGAAACGGCCACGGCACUGAACCGCUGCGGGGAAGUCAACGACAGCCCGAAACCUCCGUCCAUUCACGUCCCUUUUUCCACCCUCGAGAUGUAUGUAACAAAACGUUUUCGCCUCGUCGUCAUUUUUGCCGUCAGCUGGUCCCCGAGAGCGACGAAACGCCGUGGAAAAGUCGAGCUUCGUUCUUGUAUAUCUACAUGCAGUCCGCUUCAGGGGCUGAUGUGAAGGAAUUUUAUGGACUUUGCAUACGUGUAAUUAAUUGUAAUAUAUCGGUAUUCUAAUAAUACAAAGCAACUGCAAUGCGCCUUGAAGAGGAAUUUGAUUGAAAUAAGUUUUCAAACGUGUAAUUAUAUCACGUAAACACUAUUUGUAUAAUAAUAUUCGGGAAGAUAGAGGUAAGUUGGGAGAAUACGAUCCAUAAGAUGAAAGAACUGUGCCAUCCGCUAUUUAAUCUCAAAAACAGAAUUAUUUUCAUUUUCGGAGAAUCACGAAACCGAAAUUAUCAUCACUAUCGUUGUAGAAUCGAGAGUGAUUAUUGCUAAAAAAUUUGUGCCAGCAGUAAUUUUGACAAUUUCUCAUCUUUUCCCGAACUUAUUUACCUCAGUUAUAUAUUAACGGUAUACUUACGAUGCUCUACGGACAACUAAAUCAUAAUUAUCGGACCAUUAGCGAUGCGGAGAAGUUUCGAAGAGCGUUAUAGCAAGUAGUUCGAACACGGUGAAGGAGAUAGGUAUAAUAAUAGACAAACAUUAGACCGCAGUAAGGGUUGAAAAGUUGGCAGUGUGUACGUCUACUUAGAUGUAAGCGAAGUGGAGAGUAAAAAAACAAAAAAAUAAGGACUUUCAAGGAUGUUUUGGUGGUGAGACAAGAACAUGCUAUAACUAUAAAUCCACUUAAAUUCAUACAACAAAUGAUUACCAUGAUCGUGUUCGACCAAACUUUCGAAAUUCGUCUUCAUUGUCCGACCUCGCUUGAAGUUUCACAGUUGUAUAUAAAUCACGGUAAGACAAAACAAACUUCCCUUCAAAACAAUAUCGAAGUAUAUGUAAUAUAUAUAUUAGUGAAUUCGUGAUUUGACGGGUGAAAAAAAUUUUAGCGGUCAACAAUCGUCUCCGCGAUACAUAAAAAGUUGUCUAUUGAAUUUUUGUUGGAACGAACUUUCGUAUAGAUAUUACAUUAAUUCGAGACAACGAAUUGUUGUUCAAAAUUUGUCAAUGUCGCCGUUAGACAGCAUCUGACUUAUGGUAUACAACAGCGGGAUCAAAACAUCCUUAAUUAAAUCUAAGAGAAGAAGAAAGCGAAGAAAGAGUGAAAGAGUGAAAGAAUAAUAAAAAUCCCCGAGGACAGUGUUGCCGGAAUUGAAGAAGGAUUCUAAACCGUUUGAAAAGGACAUCGGGUGCUGGUGCGCGUUGGUUGUUUUCUAACCGGCUUAAGUGCGUGGAGAGUAAUAACAAAGUAGUCGAGAGGCGGAAGAGUAGGUAGAGGAACGGGAACAGGAGGAGGAGGAGGAAGAGGAAGAGGAAGAGGAGAGUGACAGGGCAGAGAAUAACCGGAAGCGGCGGGAGGGGGAAGGGGAAGAGGAAGGGGCCGGCGGCAGCACGGUGUCGGCAAGAGGAGGCCCAGCCGGAGGCCGGGGGUCCGUCAGCCGCCGUGCCAGUCGCGAGCUGAGUCCCUCCUCCACCCCUUCCUCGUCCUCGAAGGGCGGUUCGCAGUCAACGACUCCGGGCCAGAAUGCGGCAUCGUGCGCCUCGGGAGUCCAGCUGCCAGGGGGAGGCGGUCAAGAUUGGAGACGGCUAGUCGGCAGCAUCCGCCGGAAGGUCAGGCGCAAGACGACCCAGAGCAGCACCAGCCUUGCCGAAGCUACCCUGCGGGAUACCUGCACCGGUAACCGGAACCAGGAUGACUUCCUCAAGGCCACCAUGAGGAUUUUCCUGGUCGUCUCGCCGCCCAUGAGUCGCGUUCAGGUGCGAUCGCGUUCCCUGACCCAGCUCGACGCCCUGGGUACCAGCAUGCUGGACGCCGGUGAACAUCGGCUGGGCGGCAGCCCCACGACGACUUCGCAACACCAACAAUCUCAUCAGCAUCCCCACAGCACCGGGGACUGUAGCCCACGUCUCCUGGUGCCAAACGCUUCCCUCGGCGAGCCGGUCAGCACGAACAAGACAAGACACAAGCUCUCCAGGUCGCAGGUAUCGAGCAGCGAGUACUUCAGCGUGUGCUUUGAGGCCGGAGACGAAACGACGUUGGAUCGAGAGGAAUUCCUGCCCGCCACGAAGGGAACAACUUUGGCGGAGGCUCUGAGCGGGGCCUGUGAACGUCGAGGCAUUGACUUGGGGCGCGUCGACGUUUUCUUGGACUCCCUCAACACUCCUCUGCCAGUUCUUACCACCGAGAGUUCCUGCAUGGGUGGAAGGCAUCUUCGCAUCACCGCCAGAGACGAUAGAACGAGCACGAGACCGGCGACUCAAAAGAGCAAUCAGAACGUGUCAUUACGCAAGGCGAGUGGGCAGAGCUGCCGGGGCCGCAGCAGCCGAUUCUUCAGCGUGUCUACGGAGGACUCGAGCGUUGACUCGGAGAAUCCAGCCGUCGUCGGUUCCACACCCAGCGGAAAAUCGUCCUCGGGGGCGGCGGGUCUCAAGGCCAGCAAGCAGCGGUGGAGUGGCUUCUUCACGAACACGAAGGGCACCAAGAUGGAGUCGCUCGUUGAACAACUCAACGAGUACACCAAGCACGGGGUGCCACGACUCACCGACAUUCAGCUACCCUACGUCGGCGAACGCGACGCUGACGAAGAGGGUCUUUACGCCCUGGAGGAGGAUUGGCGCGACAUAGUGGAGGCCUCGGACCGACUGUCAGAAAAGCAACAGCAGCAGCAAACCGCACUUUGGGAGUUGGCGCAGACAGAGGUCGCCUACAUCAGGACGCUGAAGGUGGUGACCGACCUCUUCAUGGCCUGCCUAUGCAGCCUACAGGCCUGCGGUAUCCUGAUGGAAGUCGACAGGACGAAGCUGUUUGGUAACAUUCCAGAUAUCUAUGCCGCGAACCGAUUUUUCUGGUGCGAACAUCUUCUGGCCAUGGUCAACGCGGCCAGAGUCACAAGGCUGCCUCUCGACCCCGGCGACCUUCUUCACGGCUUUGAGACCUUUGAACAGACCUUUGCACCCUACUCGAGAUACUGCGCCGAGCAGAGCAGGUGCCAACAGUACUGCAGGGACCGUUUGAACGACAACGAAUUAUUUACGGCAUAUCUCGUGUGGUGCGAAACGCAAAAAGACUGCAAUCGAUUGAGGUUGCUGGACAUUCUAGUGAAGCCAAUGCAAAGGCUGACCAAAUAUUCUCUAUUGCUGAAGGCCGUCCACAAGAAUACAGAGCACGAGGAACAGCGGUCUGAACUUACGAUGAUGAUUAAAUCCGUAGACAAAUUCGUUGCUUCGGUAAACGCUGCUCUCAGACGAAGUGAGGAGACCGCUCGUCUGGCUAGCGCCGCUGCUCGUCUUGAAACUUACGAAGUCGUUGAGUCUCGAGACGAGGAGCUUGACAGAUUAGUCAAAGCUCACAGCAACCUCGACAUCAUGACUACGCCGAUGCCUGGGUGCCCGAAGGAUGCACCGAGGACCCUUCUCAGAGAAGGGGAAUUCAAAUUACGGGACGGUGCCACGAGCAAGAUGGAGGUGCGAGUCCUUUUGCUUACUGACAUGCUGCUUGUAUGCAAACCCUCAACGAAAAAGACCUCGUCAAGCAGCGGGUCUGGAGGAGGCGCGGCUGGUGGUCUCAGGAUAGUCCGCCAGCCCUACGUCGUAGACCGCAUCCGUGUAAACGAGCUCAAGGAACCAUCCAGUCUGGGUCUGGUUUACCUUAACGACUACGGCGCAGCAUGUGCCGCACUUAUACUCAGCGCUGGGGAGCCGAAAUUGGCCAAGUCCUGGGUCGAAUCUCUUCGCAAGGCGCAACAGCAGUUUGCGCGAAUGAAAUUGCCCCCCGUGGUUGGUGCGGCAACAGUGCCGAUCCUCCCUGUCAGCAGGCAAGCCAGCACCUACCUCGGAGACGGGGACUUUGACGUGGAAGAUGCUGAAGGUGUGUUGGGUCGGACGCCUCGCGGAAGCAGCCGAGCCUCACGGGUCAGCAGUCUGGCCCACAGCCACAGCGGAAGCAUGGAGAUGGAGGGCGUUUCUCCCGGCAGCAACAGCUUCGUCGCCAGCUACAAUCCCAGCAGGAAUGUCAGCGUCGAGACGAACGAACCUCCCCGUGCCUCCAGUGUGUCCUCGGAAGAGGGCGGCAGUGAACUUGCAGCUGCCGGGCACAAUCUCAGGCCUCUGCAAGUCAGGCGCUCGCUCCUCUGCAAAUCUCCGACGCCAAACACCCUCAGCGUCCAAGUACCGGCGUACUCGGGUCUAGGUCAGUCUUUGCCGAAUCUGACCCUUGCAACGUCACCACAAACGUCAACCGUCUCGCCAACACCGCCUAACUCUCUCCUGAUCGUUCCUCAGAUCACCAAGAGCAAGGAUACUCUCCUGUCUCCUGGACACAGAGGAAUAUCGUACCCGCCUCCUUCACCACCGCGGGGCGCCCUGCGUAGGGCGUUCGCGGUACCGCAAUCCCGGAACCCACCCUUGAUUAAGACUCGGCAUGUGAACGCCUCGGUCGUCGCCCAACCGGUGCAAACAACCGUGAGUCUUGACGCCGAUGCCGCCGAGGAGAGACGGCGGAGACUCGAACCAUCUCAGAGAAUUACAUCAGCGAGCAGCAUCACCGAGGAAAAGAAAUGACCGGCAUAAGGUGAAUGAUUAAUUGUGAACAUUGAUCACCGCGAAGUGAUCCUUGGAGGGGCAAACCGUUGUCGUUCGGGUUUACGACGCCCGGGCUUAGCGGCGGACGGAUACCUGUGGAUCCCGGCUCGUCGAUGUUUCUGCACUGAAGUUGAAGAUCGAAAGAUUGAAAUGUUUUUCACGCAUCCGCUAGUGUGCGAGUGCUGCACACAUUCGCACACGGCGAAGGCGUUUCGACUUAAUAAUCAACUGUUCAAAUUCUCUCACUGUAUUACCAAGCCUAAGAAUUAACGCAUCAAGCAAUUCCGAAAUCGAUUGGGGCCAUUCGAAAACAACGUGAAAUUUAUAAUAAUAAAUUAUAGAAAUUAUAUAAUAAAAUAAUAUACAACAUAUUAUAUAUAUUAUAUAACAUAAUUAUAAAUUUAGUGUAAUAAUAUAUCACUUAAAUCUUCUAAUUAGCAUAUUGUACUGUAGCAGAAACGUAGUUUUAUAACGUUGCAUCGGUUGAAAAAAAAACCAAACUUGACUCAUGCAAUUAAGCUGUAUCUUAAGCAAAAUCAAAAAGGCCUACGUAGUGUUAUUAAAACUCUAAAUAAAUAGUCAUUAGUAUAUAGAUACUAUAUAUUGCCUAUAGCGGAAGUGUGAUCACUAGAGAAAGAGAGACAGAUAUUUACAACUGUUAGCUAUUUAUUAUUCAGCGGGCAAUCGCCGCACGACACCUUCAAUCAUUCCAUGCAACGUCUUAACACACGCUAUUCAGUGAGUUUCGUGAGAAAUUUUUCUCUCCCUAUAUCGAAUAAAGUAAUGGAGAACAAAUGUUUCGCAUUACUUAAACUCAUCCCGAUCAUCCGAGUCAUUUUCAAUCUUUUCCAGAAGUAUUUUCAUCGGUAUUAACCGUCAUAAGCAAAAUGAUAUUUACUCGAAAUAGUGAUCUGCGAUCUAUUUAGUUUAUAUUUAGAACGAGAAUUGGUCGCAACGAAAUACCCGUUAUUCGCAUGUGAGGACGAUGUAAAAUUGAACCGGCUUAAAUAACUCUGUCCAAAUAAUAUUAUUAUACUUUAAGUACAAAUCCGACGGUAUAUAUAAUUGAAGAUUAAAUAUGUACUGUCCACUUAUAUGGGGAAAAAAGACGACGUGGUAUAGUUGUGAUGAUUUAUAAAUUAUUAUUAUAAAUACCCAAAUAAUGUAGUUAACUUAUUAUUUCUAUAAAUUAUAAGUAUAAUCGUUUAAGGAUACGUAUCAUAACUAGAGACAACAUUCCAAAAUAGGGAGGGGACCUCGUUUCCAAUGGUUAACAAUGGUAUUGUAAAUAAUCUAUUCUAUCUCAUUUACAACCAUUAAUUGUACUGCGACAUUCGCACUUGGUUUAUAGUCAUCUUAAUGCAGUACGUAUUGUCUAUCAUUACACAUACAUAUAAUAUAUCAGCUAUUAUUAAGGCUGCCACGGAGGAGCCGAUUGUAAAAGCCAGCUGCGUUUCUGUGUAACGAGACAAGAAUAUAUCAAAUAAUUUAUUA